UCCCUGGUGGUCCAGUGGUUAAGACUCUGCAUUUCCACUACAGUUGGCCUAGGUUUGAUCCCUGGUCAGGGAA
rfam:TPA: Bos taurus chromosome 16, whole genome shotgun sequence.